UCGAGGCCAUAACAUAUAUGUAUGAGACAGUCAAACAUUUCGACAAUAUGCUCCAUGAAAAGCAUGUUUACAAGAUGCAUAAUGUAAAGUUCAGUCUUCAUCCGGGUGAAUUUAAUUUUCGUCAUCUAAAUGGUCCCAUGGAAUUGUGUCUUGACCAACAAACUAUCGUGGAGCCUUACACUGUUCCAAUUCAAAUGGCGCCAUUCCCAAAACAAAUACUCUUGAACCUUGCUGAUAUUGCCGAGUUGCCAAACAGGACUUUAGUCGACAUUAUGGCUAUUGUAGUCCACUUGGAUACAA